ensembl:lncRNA
CAUAUAUCCCUAUAUGCCCCAUAUGUCCCUAUAUGUCCCCAUAUGUCCCUAUGUGUCUCCUAUUGUCCCUAUAUGACCCUAUAUGUCCCUAUAUGACCCUAUAUUGUCCCUAUAUGUCCCCAUAUGUCCCUAUAUUCCCCCAUAUAUCCCUAUAUGUCCUUAUAUGACCCCAUAUUGUUCCUAUAUGACCCCAUAUUGUCCCUAUAUGUCCCCAUAUGUCCCUAUAUGUCCCUAUAUGUCCCCAUAUGUCCCUAUAAGUACCCUAUUGUCCCAAUAUGACCCUAUAUGACCCCAUAUUGUCCCUAUAUGUCCCCAUAUGUCCCCUAUUGUCCCUAUAUGACCCCAUAU